rnacentral:rRNA from 1 species
GCAGCGACGCUUAUGCGUUGUUGGGUAGGGGAGCGUUCUGUAAGCCUGUGAAGGUGUGCUGUGAGGCAUGCUGGAGGUAUCAGAAGUGCGAAUGCUGACAUAAGUAACGAUAAAGCGGGUGAAAAGCCCGCUCGCCGAAAGACCAAGGGUUCCUGUCCAACGUUAAUCGGGGCAGGGUGAGUCGACCCCUAAGGCGAGGCCGAAAGGCGUAGUCGAUGGGAAACAGGUUAAUAUUCCUGUACUUGGUGUUACUGCGAAGGGGGGACGGAGAAGGCUAUGUUGGCCGGGCGACGGUUGUCCCGGUUUAAGCGUGUAGGCUGGUUUUCCAGGCAAAUCCGGAAAAUCAAGGCUGAGGCGUGAUGACGAGGCACUACGGUGCUGAAGCAACAAAUGCCCUGCUUCCAGGAAAAGCCUCUAAGCAUCAGGUAACAUCAAAUCGUACCCCAAACCGACACAGGUGGUCAGGUAGAGAAUACCAAGGCGCUUGAGAGAACUCGGGUGAAGGAACUAGGCAAAAUGGUGCCGUAACUUCGGGAGAAGGCACGCUGAUAUGUAGGUGAAGUCCCUCGCGGAUGGAGCUGAAAUCAGUCGAAGAUACCAGCUGGCUGCAACUGUUUAUUAAAAACACAGCACUGUGCAAACACGAAAGUGGACGUAUACGGUGUGACGCCUGCCCGGUGCCGGAAGGUUAAUUGAUGGGGUCAGCGCAAGCGAAGCUCUUGAUCGAAGCCCCGGUAAACGGCGGCCGUAACUAUAACGGUCCUAAGGUAGCGAAAUUCCUUGUCGGGUAAGUUCCGACCUGCACGAAUGGCGUAAUGAUGGCCAGGCUGUCUCCACCCGAGACUCAGUGAAAUUGAACUCGCUGUGAAGAUGCAGUGUACCCGCGGCAAGACGGAAAGACCCCGUGAACCUUUACUAUAGCUUGACACUGAACAUUGAGCCUUGAUGUGUAGGAUAGGUGGGAGGCUUGAAGUGUGGACGCCAGUCUGCAUGGAGCCGACCUUGAAAUACCACCCUUUAAUGUUUGAUGUUCUAACGUUGACCCGUGAUCCGGGUUGCGGACAGUGUCUGGUGGGUAGUUUGACUGGGGCGGUCUCCUCCUAAAGAGUAACGGAGGAGCACGAAGGUUGGCUAAUCCUGGUCGGACAUCAGGAGGUUAGUGCAAUGGCAUAAGCCAGCUUGACUGCGAGCGUGACGGCGCGAGCAGGUGCGAAAGCAGGUCAUAGUGAUCCGGUGGUUCUGAAUGGAAGGGCCAUCGCUCAACGGAUAAAAGGUACUCCGGGGAUAACAGGCUGAUACCGCCCAAGAGUUCAUAUCGACGGCGGUGUUUGGCACCUCGAUGUCGGCUCAUCACAUCCUGGGGCUGAAGUAGGUCCCAAGGGUAUGGCUGUUCGCCAUUUAAAGUGGUACGCGAGCUGGGUUUAGAACGUCGUGAGACAGUUCGGUCCCUAUCUGCCGUGGGCGCUGGAGAACUGAGGGGGGCUGCUCCUAGUACGAGAGGACCGGAGUGGACGCAUCACUGGUGUUCGGGUUGUCAUGCCAAUGGCACUGCCCGGUAGCUAAAUGCGGAAGAGAUAAGUGCUGAAAGCAUCUAAGCACGAAACUUGCCCCGAGAUGAGUUCUCCCUGACUCCUUGAGGGUCCUGAAGGAACGUUGAAGACGACGACGUUGAUAGGCCGGGUGUGUAAGCGCAGCGAUGCGUUGAGCUAACCGGUACUAAUGAACCGUGAGGCUUAACCU